rnacentral:rRNA from 1 species
UACGGAGGGUGCAAGCGUUGUUCGGAAUUACUGGGCGUAAAGCGCGCGUAGGCGGCUUUUUAAGUCAGAUGUGAAAGCCCAUGGCUCAACCAUGGAUGUGCAUUUGAAACUGGGAAGCUUGAGUACUGGAGGGGGUGGUGGAAUUCCCGGUGUAGAGGUGAAAUUCGUAGAUAUCGGGAGGAAUACCGGUGGCGAAGGCGACCACCUGGCCAAAUACUGACGCUGAGGUG